rnacentral:sRNA from 1 species
GCUGGGCGUGGUGGCUCACGCCUGUAAUCCCAGCACUUUGGGAGGCUGAGGUGAGUGAAUCACCUGAGGUCAGGAGUUCAAGACCAGCCUGACCAAUAUGGUGAAACCCCGUCUCUA